rnacentral:antisense_RNA from 1 species
GACAAGAGGAUGGGACUGCAGUUGUGGCUGCCAGAGCUCCGGCCAGGGUGAAAACAAGGAACAUUCCGGAGAAGAUCACAAGGAUGCGAAUAAAAUCUGAGCUGCACAGGGAUCUUUGGGCUGUGAUAGGAGGGGACACACAGGGGUUGGAGUGCAGUGGCACGAUCUCGGCUCACUGCAACCUCCGCCUCCUGAGUUCAAGUGAUUCUCCUGCCUCAGCCUCCCUAGUAGCUGGGAUUACAGGACAAGCAGAGGGACAAAUUCCUUCUUGGCAUCCUUAUGGCCCCAUGACCUGCUAAUGAAUGCUGACUCUGAGUGGCUACUAGAAUUUGGUUUCCUUAUGGCUUCCCAGGAAUUGGUCUCACUCUGCUCACUGGUACAGUCACGGCUCACUGCAGCCUCUACUUCCUGGGCUCAAGUGAUCUUCUCACUUCAGCCUUCUGAGUAGCUGGGACUACGGCCCCCUCUGCAGCUCUUCAUGGGGGUCCACUCAAGUCGGAAGCCACAUCUGGGUGUGAUUCAGAGAGCUGUUUAUGCAAAACCACCCUUGUUACCAUCAGGCAAGGCACCUGAAUUCCCACCACAGCGAGUGCUGUGGCCCUGAGGACUUUUCUGUCACCAGCCAUUUCCAGGUAGACCCAGUGUAAUCACAAGCAUCCUUGUAAGUGGAAAAGAGGCAGAGGAGACAGCGCCAGAGAGGCAGCUGCAUGAGAAGGAUCAAUGAUAUUGCUGACCUUGAAGCUGGAAGAAGAGGGCCAUGAGCCCUCAGUAUGUGGGUGGCCUCCAGAAGCUGGAAGGGGCAAGGAGUUGGAUUUGACCCUAGACCCUCCAGGGGCAGUUGCACCUGCCAACACUGAUUGUAGCCUGGUGAGGCCUGUUUUAGACUUCUGACCUGUAGAGCUGUAACAUAAUACAUUUGGGUUGUUUUCAACCACUAAGUUUGUGGUAAUUUGUUAUAGCAGCCGUAGAAAAUGAAUACACGUGAAUCCUCUGGCAUUUGUUUGAGAUUUGCUCUGUGGCCUAGUGUGUGGUUGUAAAUGUUCCAUCUGUGCCUGAAAAAAUGUAUAUUUCU